GGAGUUCCACACAGUUGUGAGAUUGGCUGUCACAAAAGUAUGAUUUUAAAUUAAUUUAUAAGCUGUCAAUGUGUUUGGGUGUGGAAUUCUCCCACAGUGGUUAAGUGUCCCCUUUCCUUCAUCAAAUUAUGCUGUGAUAUUGUCUGGUACAAAAUGCUACUGCCUGUGGAUCAACCAACCAACAUAUCCAGAAAAUCACCUGUUUAUAGAAAUUGUAUUUGCUGCCACUAGGCUUCAAAGUCGAAUUCCAGAUUGGAAAAUAAAAUGCACAGACUGCCUCUUUCGACUUCCAGGCCACGCAUGCACCCAUAAACCAAAUUCUUGUAGCAUUGAACAUGGACAGACCUGCUUCAGACAGACAGUCUAUUUUGGACGGGUUCCAUUAUAUAGCAAAAUGGGUUGCGCUGAAACUUGUAUGGCGGUCAAAGAGGAGAAGGAGAAACUGAAGAUCUCUGAAACCUUUACUUGCUGCCAUUUAUUUAACCAUUGUAACGCAUAAGAGAACCUGCAACUUGGAGCUCGCUAUGUGAACAAAAAGAUGGAAAUGUGUACAGUAUCCAAAAGUACACCCUCUGUGGAAAUACUGUUGAAAGCUCUAUUUUUGGCUACUCACCCAAGGCACGGUAGAGAAGGAUGGCAAUCGAGAACCACAAACCCUUGCUCAUGUUUUCUUUCCUUCCGGCUUUUGUUACUUUGAAAUAAGAUUGAAGAAUUUGGUGGAUCUUUAAUUGUAUUGAUGAAGAUGAUCCUGACCUGUUAUCAAAGUCAGUAUUAACUCACACAGACGUACUUUCAGAGCAAGUCACAAAUGGAUGUGAGUUCUCUGAAGGUGGUGUUAUAAAGGCUCCAAAAUUACAAUAAAAAUCUUUUGACCAAGAAU